CGUUGAUUACGUCCCUGCCCUUUGUACACACCGCCCGUCGCUACUACCGAUUGACUCUCUUAGUGAGGUCUUCUUAUUGGCUUCUGCGGUCCGGCAACUGCCCACUGUUUCUUCUAAGUUGAUC
rnacentral:rRNA from 1 species